GGAAUAUUGGACAAUGGGGGCAACCCUGAUCCAGCGACGCCGCGUGGGUGAAGAAGGCCUGCGGGUUGUAAAGCCCUUUCGGUGGGGAAGAAAAGCCUCGACCUAAUACGUCGGGGUCUUGACGUAACCCACAAAAGAAGCACCGGCUAACUCUGUGCCAGCAGCCGCGGUAAUACAGAGGGUGCGAGCGUUAAUCGGAAUUACUGGGCGUAAAGCGCACGUAGGCGGCUCUGCAAGUCGGGUGUGAAAUCCCCGGGCUCAACCUGGGAACUGCAUUCGAUACUGCAUUGCUAGAGUAUGGGAGAGGGAAGUGGAAUUUCCGGUGUAGCGGUGAAAUGCGUAGAUAUCGGAAGGAACACCAGUGGCGAAAGCGACUUCCUGGACCAAUACUGACGCUCAGGUGCGAAAGCGUGGGGAGCAAAC
rnacentral:rRNA from 1 species